rnacentral:lncRNA from 1 species
GUUCGAUUGAUCUCAAAAUUCUCAUACACAUAGAAAAACAAGUCUAAUAUCCUCUCACAUAAGUUUCACUCUAAUCCAACUAGUAGAUUGCAAGAAAUCUUAGAAAUCCCUACUGGACCAAAAAUUCUACUUUCUGAGACCUUGAUCCACUUAAACUUCAAUAUUCCUCAAUUCAACAGUUAAAUCGAGCUCAAAUUUACGAUACAUUUUAAACACAACUAUAACCAUAAAUCAACAAAAUUUCACUUGUGAAUCUAUUACAAAACUCUUGAAAUCACCAAAAACGUAAACUCUAUUUUAUUUCAUAAAACCCAAGCCAUCUAAAACAAACCUUGACUUUGCAAAGCUCUUACAAAGUCAUAUCAACUCCAAAUCACUCAAAAU